rnacentral:rRNA from 1 species
UAAGGUGGUGCACGAAUAAGGACUGGGCAAGACCGGUGCCAGCCGCCGCGGUAAUACCGGCAGUCCGAGUGAUGGCCGAUCUUAUUGGGCCUAAAGCGUCCGUAGCUGGCUGAACAAGUCCGUUGGGAAAUCUGUCCGCUUAACGGGCAGGCGUCCAGCGGAAACUGUUCAGCUUGGGACCGGAAGACCUGAGGGGUACGUCUGGGGUAGGAGUGAAAUCCUGUAAUCCUGGACGGACCGCCGGUGGCGAAAGCGCCUCAGGAGAACGGAUCCGACAGUGAGGGACGAAAGCUAGGGUCUCGAACCGGAUUAGAUACCCGGGUAGUCCUAGCUGUAAACGAUGUCCGCUAGGUGUGGCGCAGGCUACGAGCCUGCGCUGUGCCGUAGGGAAGCCGAGAAGCGGACCGCCUGGGAAGUACGUCUGCAAGGAUGAAACUUAAAGGAAUUGGCGGGGGAGCACUACAACCGGAGGAGCCUGCGGUUUAAUUGGACUCAACGCCGGACAUCUCACCAGCCCCGACAGUAGUAAUGACGGUCAGGUUGAUGACCUUACCCGAGGCUACUGAGAGGAGGUGCAUGGCCGCCGUCAGCUCGUACCGUGAGGCGUCCUGUUAAGUCAGGCAACGAGCGAGACCCGCACUCCUAAUUGCCAGCAGUACCCUUUGGGUAGCUGGGUACAUUAGGUGGACUGCCGCUGCCAAAGCGGAGGAAGGAACGGGCAACGGUAGGUCAGUAUGCCCCGAAUGGGCUGGGCAACACGCGGGCUACAAUGGUCGAGACAAUGGGAAGCCACUCCGAGAGGAGGCGCUAAUCUCCUAAACUCGAUCGUAGUUCGGAUUGAGGGCUGAAACUCGCCCUCAUGAAGCUGGAUUCGGUAGUAAUCGCGUGUCAGCAGCGCGCGGUGAAUACGUCCCUGCUCCUUGCACACACCGCCCGUCAAAUCACCCGAGUGGGGUUCGGAUGAGGCCGGCAUGCGC